ACCUGAGCAGCCAUGCUUC
rnacentral:misc_RNA from 1 species